rnacentral:rRNA from 1 species
UACGUAGGGUGCAAGCGUUGUCCGGAAUUAUUGGGCGUAAAGGGCUCGUAGGCGGUUUGUCGCGUCGGGAGUGAAAACUCAGGGCUUAACCCUGAGCCUGCUUCCGAUACGGGCAGACUAGAGGUAUGCAGGGGAGAAUGGAAUUCCUGGUGUAGCGGUGAAAUGCGCAGAUAUCAGGAGGAACACCGGUGGCGAAGGCGGU